UGAGGAAUCUUGCGCAAUGGGGGAAACCCUGACGCAGCAACGCCGCGUGAGUGAAGAAGGCCUUCGGGUCGUAAAGCUCUGUCGGGUGGGAAGAAUCGCAUGAAGGUGAAUAGUCUCAUGCUUUACGGUACCGCCAAAGGAAGCACCGGCUAACCCCGUGCCAGCCGACGCGGUAAUUCGGGGGGUUCAAGCGUUGUUCGGAAUCAUUGGGCGUAAAGAGCGUGUAGGCGGCGUGAUAAGUCAGAUGUGAAAGCCCUGGGCUCAACCCAGGAAGUGCAUUUGAAACUGUCUUGCUUGAGUACGGGAGAGGGAAGAGGAAUUCCUGGUGUAGAGGUGAAAUUCGUAGAUAUCAGGAGGAACACCGGUGGCGAGGGCGACUUCCUGGCCCGAUACUGACGCUGAGACGCGAGAGCGUGGGGAGCAAACA
rnacentral:rRNA from 1 species